rnacentral:lncRNA from 1 species
ACACGCAUGCACGCGCGCACACACACGCACACACAGGCACACACAAACACACCCGCCCGCUCGGCUCCGCUCCCGAGCUGCCUCAGCAAGGAGGAGCCCGGACGGAAAACACCCGGGCAGCAAGGAGACUGAGAAGAGAGGGGACCCUGGAUGUCAGUCCAUUCUCCGUUUUUUGUUUGUCUUGACUUUGAGGCAGAUUUCCUCUUUCAGCUCUGGAAACUGACAGGAGGUCUUUUGAUCACCUAAAAAAGUAAACUGCAUCCUGUACAUGUCCUCUUAAAAAUUCUGCUUUAUGGAAGAGAAGAUCAAUUCGUUGCAGGUGAAGGAAGUAUAUCAUUCUGACACCUGAAAAGUCCAGGAUCUCUCUAGAAAAUGAUGGAGCUUCUCUCAUCACCAAUUUUCUAUAGCCAAAGAAGCCCCAGCUACCUACUGUGUGGGAGGAGAGGCUCUAAACCAUAAACAGGCCAAUAAUACGUCACACCAUCUGAUUGCAAUGAAUGCGAAAGUAAAAGAUGGUUGGAACGGUGCCGGCGAAAGGUUGUUUCAGCUGGAGCAGAGGAGAGAAGGUUGUCCAACAUGUUUGAAACCACAGCUUGAUCCACAGUCUAUUGAGGCCAGUAAGGGUCUUCCCUUGGCAUCUGAAGGCUUUUGAUCAGUUGUGUCAGUUCCUCAAGACAAAGACCCUAAUCUUUGAGUUUAUCAGUGCGUGGUUUACAUUGGUGUAGCACUCAGUAAAUGAGGUGAGUUUGCUGGGUCAGGGACAGACAACCUGUUGCAAGUUCAUAACUGUUCUUAACUGCAUAGUGAAGACUGCUCAGAUCAUGGUUGUACAAAUAUGGCGAGCGAAUGAUAAGUGAAAUUCAGGCUCCGAAACUAUGCAGUUAAUUUCCAUUCCGGAGAACUAAGAGAAUCCAGCAAGAAGGGGUUCUCAGGUACUGAGGUGACCAACACUUCUAAAAUACACCAGCAUGCAAGCUUUUGCUGAGCAAAUUAUAAACUUCCACGCUAUUGCAGAAUGACUGUCAGUUCCUGCCUCAUAAAACCUAAACGUAAUUUUUUUCAAAGAGUUAAUCAAAGUACACCACCAAGAAUAAGUCACUUCAGGAAUUACCAUCAACGAACUCAUUUGAACCUAGCCCAGCUGCUGCCUGAAGCUUCAAACAGAUAUACCACUUAUUCCUGGCACUCUCCCGUUCCUCAUUGUCCAUCACAUCUCACUGGAAAAUGGGGAGAGCAACUGUUACAGCUACAGAGAAGUCUGCAGAAGGGUUGACAUCAAAGAUGUGUUUUUCCUUUCUCAGUGUGUUAAUUUUCUUUUCACUUUUACAAACAGUGGCUGGUAUAUGUUUUGGAAGGCUUGUGCUUCUGGCUUGAUUUUACACCACCUAUUGUUAAAGGCCAAUUGGUAUUACACUGAAAUAGUAGGUUUGGUUUAUUUAUUUAGAAUAUCUCUUUUUCUUUUGGAAUUUUUCUGUUAAAUGAAAAUCUCUUUGCCCACAGAUGAGCCGUAGUAACUUUCACUGGGAAAGUAGCUUUCUGUCAGUAUUUUUUUGUAUAUCUUCUCUUUAAAAAAAAGUGUCAUGAAAAGAGCUGUAAAACCUGCCAUUGCUUGCAAAGAAAAGAAAUUGUAAUCAAUUCCUACAACAGAGUAACAAUUCUUUAAUAUUUGCAGUAUUCAGUAGGAGUUCAUUAGUGUAACAACAGCACAUCCCGUGAAUCACACUUUAACGUUGUUGAAGCUUUUUAUAGUAAAAUAGAUUAAGGGUGGAGAAUUCAUGUAAAGGGACAAGAAUGUAACUCACACAUUAGUCAGUGAUUGUGAAUCAAAAUUAUUCUGGGUAAUUAAGUAAGCCUGAAGGUGUUUAAGUACACUAAAAGAGAGCCAAUACAGCGUAAAAUACUUUUGGGCUAAAGAAAGCAUAAAUCACAGCAACUUACCCUAGAUUUCGACUCAGCCACUGCUUAAGUUACAUACUGUGUAAAUCCAUAAAGCCAGCUACUACAGGCUCUCAGUUUGUUGAAUGUUUUAAUUAAGGGGAUUUUGUCAAGGUAUUUCUCAUUAUUAGGAGAAUAUUGUAUACAAAACGACUAGAGAUGGGUGAAUUCAUUUUACCUCAUUACAAGCCCAUUCAAAGACCAUCUCUAAUCAUGAAAUAUUAUUAGCUUCUUGUUUUUUUCAGAAGAUGAUCACAUGGAAUAAUAUCUAAUGAUAAAAUAAGGGAAAUAGAAGAAAGCAGCAUAGGAAAACAACUACGAACAUAGUGUGAAGAAUGGAUUAGAUAGCAUGGAAAGAGGAUCUGAAAGAAAAACUAGUAAUACCUCCUGCCCAUGGUCCAAAGAAAUAUCUGACAUGUUGGGUAGCUAUGUGUUAUUUUCUGACCUGCUAAGUAAGGUUUAAAUUACAUCAAAGAAAUGUCUGCAAAGUCAAGCUAGCUCUGUAAAACCUGUGGAUCAUAAGAAUAAUGUAAGAUGUUCACAGACAUUGAGUUUGCUCAAGACUGAUGAUAAUCCCUUGUGAAAUGCAAACUGAAAUUUGUUUUUCUACCAAAACAAGGCCUUUUUCUUCUCCCUCUUCCCAUUCACAGACACAGGCACGUUGUUGGCUUGUUAUUGUAGUUUAUGAAUGUUGGCCUUUAUUCUUGUGAAAUUAGUAUUAUCAACUUCAUUUGACAAAAUGUAAAAUUCUAUGUAAAGCUGACAGACUUGGAAAAAGUAGUAGAAACUAAAAGGAGAUAAACAUAGCUUUAUGAAACUGUGUUUUCUUAAAUAGUUCUUUUACUCUGAAGGGCUACAUAAUUACACCAAGCCAUAUGUGUGUCUUUUUUUUCUUUAAUAUAUAUUCUUGAAACUGGACAAGUGCUAAUAGCACCACUCAGGAGAAUGACAUCUAUCAUCUAGAAAGUUCUCAUUAUAGCUUACUUUAUCAGUUCAAUGAUGAAAAAAAAAAAAAUCAGCUAUAAAUCAGAAUCUCCAAGUAAUGUUUUAGCUGAACUUAAAAUAAUAUUCUAAGGUCUGAUCAUAAAAGUGUGGGAUUAGGCAAAAGCCAGCCACACUAGGUGUCACUUCUCCUUUAUCUGGAGACCUACAUAAUGAAUUAUACUAUUCUCACAUAGCACAGGACAGGUGGAAUUUGAAAAAUACAUCCCAUAGCAUAUAAAUCAUAUGAUAUAAAGCAAACACUCCAUAGGUUAUGGGUUUUAGUAUUCUGGUAUCAAGAUUUCUUAUGCCAGUUGGUAGCUUUUUAUGCUCUUCAUUGGUCUUUUAAUAACAACCUAUUUGAUCUUUCUAUCUAAUUGCUCUCAUGUUAAUAAUUAUGUGGGAUUAUGAAAGCUCUAAUUCUUGACUGUGCAUAUGGGAGGAUGUAUAGUUAUGACAUCCCUGUAAAAUCUUUGUGAGAAAGACAUGACCCAGGGCAGUGAGGAAACUCUCAGAAGAGCUGAUGAGCUGGGCACAGUGCCACGCUGACGUAGCUGCCCUGUGCCAGCUUGCUGUGCCGGCCUGGGUGGUCGCCAUCCCUCAGAGCCAGACAUCCUCCACAGAACUCCUUGCCUGAGGGUGGCAGGGGAAUUUCUAGCUCCAGUGCUUUUACAGGCUCCAUUUUAACUAUGUCAGAGUGUGUCAUUGUCUUUUGGUUACUUGCUGUCUCAGACAGGGAAGCUGCUUUUUGCAGGUGAUGGGCUGAGGCUCUGUGGGGCUUGCAGGACAACCUGAGAGUCACCAAGCAGGGUCUUAAAGGCCAUGUCUCUGUAUCACACACAAGAAUGAUCGGAACAUUUUUCUUAUUUACUGUGACUCUGGCGUUGGAGACUAGCAGACAUUUUGUCUUGGGAAAGCUGGCUGAAGACUGCUGUUUUCAUGCUUAUUCCAACAGCUCCAUGAACCAAUGCAAUGGAUAUAAAUGUUUUGUGGACAAUCACUCUUUUAUUUUGUUUUUGAAGCAUUUCUUCAGGCUGGGCUGCUUCAGUCACUGCUUUAGUAAGCAGCCCCACAAACACUUGCACAAGCACGAUGGAGGAGCAGAGGCUGAUAUGGUCUUUAAAACAUUUGGAGUAUGGGAGAGGUAGAAACGUGUCAGACUUGCUUUGUUUCUAGAGUAGUGUGUUGGAAUAACAAGCUCCUCUUCUUGUUUAGCCACACUGCUGUUGCAUAGGGCAAGUUGGAAGUGGAGGGGGAAGGAGAAACUUAAAUUCUUCAUCUUCCCUAUGCCUGCACGGAAAGCUGAAUUUCCUCGUAGGCACAUUCUGCUCUCUCCUCACUUCCAUGGCCAGUAACAUGACUGUAUAGCAGGGAGGCAAAGACUGCUUCAUUUCCAACUAGACAUCAUUAUAAUCUUGUCCACAGCGUGGAAGCCCAUGUCCAUUUUGGCUGAUUAUGGAAGAAAGAAUCUAGGAGGAAGGAGGAAGAAAAAGCCAAGGUGGACACAACUGUGAAAAUAGUGGGUAAGCAGAUGCUUCAGUCAUACUGCUGUUUGAAGACAUAGGGACUGGGAGACUCCGACGUUAGCCAUGCAGUGUGCAGGGAGCCAUCUUUUACACUGGAAAAACAGGUCUGGCAAGGUACUGGACUGCAACAUUCUGGAAGAGCAUGUGGCAGGAUCUUCCAAUUUCUUUCUGCUUUUCAAUUCACUACAUGGAGAAUCAGCCUUGCAAGCACUCAGGUGUGCUUGGGAGCAGGUUGGUUUCUAUUUCCUUUCCACACCUGCUCUGUGGUUUCCACACUGUGAGGAGAGAUAAACAGCAAGAGGGGAACUCCAGGCGCUUCUCAUCCUGCCCCUUCCUCAGCCCCUCCACGUACCCACUGCUUGUUACUGGUAAAACACCAAAAACAACAAAAAAAACCAAGUCAAGCCCUUUUAGCAGAUUAAACUCUUUCUGACUGAGCCAUUCUUGAGGCAUUACUUCCCCUUACAGUUAAUAUUUGUCAGCAUAGUUGCUACUAACUCUGCAUGCAAAAUACACUACCUUUUUCACAUCUUUGCAUUAUUCAGCAUAAACCAUAUUUCACGUAAC